UACGUAGGGUGCAAGCGUUGUCCGGAAUUAUUGGGCGUAAAGAGCUCGUAGGCGGUCUGUCGCGUCUGGUGUGAAAAUCCAGGGCUUAACCCUGGACCUGCAUCGGGUACGGGCAGACUAGAGUGCGGUAGGGGAGAUCGGAAUUCCUGGUGUAGCGGUGAAAUGCGUAGAUAUCGAGAGGAACACCUGCGGCGAAGGCGGGUUGCUGGGCUGACACUGACGCUGAGGCGCGAAAGCUAGGGGAGCGAACGGG
rnacentral:rRNA from 1 species